rnacentral:rRNA from 1 species
AUUGAACGCUGGCGGCACGCUUAACACAUGCAAGUCGAGCGGUAACAUGGGUAGUAGCAAUACUAUCUGAUGACGAGCGGCGGACGGUUGAGUAACACGUAGGAACUUGCCCAGUAGAGGGGGACAACCAAGGGAAACUUUGGCUAAUACCGCAUAUACUCGAGAGAGGAAAGCUGCCAGCAAUGGUGGCGCUAUUGGAGAGGCCUGCGUCCGAUUAGCUAGUUGGUGAGGUAAUAGCUUACCAAGGCGAGGAGCGGUAACUGGUCUGAGAGGACGACCAGUCUCACUGGGACUGAGACACGGCCCAGACUCCUACGGGAGGCAGCAGUGGGGAAUCUUGGACAAUGGGGGCAACCCUGAUCCAGCGAUGCCGCGUGAGUGAAGAAGGCCUUCGGGUCGUAAAGCUCUUUAGGCUGGGAAGAAGGUUAGUAGUUUAAGAGAUAACUAGCUUGACUGUACCAGCAGAAUAAGCACCGGCAAACUCUGUGCCAGCCGCCGCCGUAA